rnacentral:rRNA from 1 species
CCGCCCCCCCCUCUCCCGGGGGGGUGGCCAGCGCCCGCCAGAGGACCAUCAAACUCCAGUCAGUAAACGAUGCAGUCUGAAAAACAUUUAAUAAACUAAAACUUUCAACAACGGAUCUCUUGGUUCUGGCAUCGAUGAAGAACGCAGCGAAAUGCGAUAAGUAAUGUGAAUUGCAGAAUUCAGUGAAUCAUCGAAUCUUUGAACGCACAUUGCGCCCUUUGGUAUUCCGAAGGGCAUGCCUGUUCGAGCGUCAUUACAACCCUCAAGCUCUGCUUGGUAUUGGGCACCGUCCUUUGCGGGCGCGCCUCAAAGACCUCGGCGGUGGCGUCUUGCCUCAAGCGUAGUAGAACAUACAUCUCGCUUCGGAGCGCAGGGCGUCGCCCGCCGGACGAACCUUCUGAACUUUUCUCAAGGUGACCUCGGAUCAGGUAGGAUGCCCGGUCUU